rnacentral:misc_RNA from 1 species
GGUGGCAAAGAUUGAAGCUUUCUUGAUUUUUGUUGUAGUGGGGUGUUUUCUUUUUUGUUGUUGAAUGUUAAUGCAAAUGCUCAAAUGUUGUUGCUUUGUGGAUCAUCUAUGGAGUUAUAUUUUCACCACAUAUGGUUUGUUGUAGCUUUGUUUCUUGCUUUUGCUUCACUUGUUUUCACUGUCACUGACCCUAAUGACUUGUCAAUUAUUAAUGAGUUUAGAAAAGGGUUGGAAAAUCCUGAGGUCUUGAAAUGGCCUGAAAAUGGUGGAGACCCUUGUGGUUCUCCAGUUUGGCCACAUAUUGUGUGUAGUGGUAGUAGAAUUCAGCAGAUUCAAGUUAUGGGGUUAGGGUUAAAAGGGC